AAUUCACGCUUUCUCUCUUUCUUGAAAUUUUAUCCAAAACCAAAUUCCUCUUUUUUCUCCCCUUUCUUCAACAACCGACUACAGAGGAAUCGACUUACCACCCCCAAUCCUUCAUCACAGUCCACACCCACACCAUCACAUCUCUUCGCUGUCUUCCUCCGUCGUUGCUUCAUCAAAUGUCUGAGAUUAUGAUGGUAGAGCCCACUUGAAUUAGUAAAAAUUGAAGUAAUAUGUGGCAUCAGAAAUUCAUGAUUUAAGUCAAAAUACGAUAUCAAUGAGACCUCAUAAUUCUCGUGGAGGACCAGUUUCCGGGCCGGAUCACCUACUGAGGAACAUCGGUGCUGCAGAAGUUGAAAGACAAGUUUAAUGAACAUAAUCUUCUUGAGAGGGCUAACAAGUCAAUAUUUAAGCAGUUUUUCACAACACCACAAUUCAAAUUUUCAAGGACACUGAUACAUGGGCUGCUUAUGAGAAAGACACCAUCGAACAAGGUGCAUGAGGUACAGUUUCAUAUCGGAUGUGAACGGCUCCAGUUCAGGACAAUGGAGUUUGCGAUGAUCACUGGGGUGUCUUUCGAAGCACCAAACACUAAGAAAUAUGAGAAGCUAACUUUAAAAAGUGGAAGAAUAGUGGAGCUGUACUUCGAAGGCACUAACAGAAUUUUGUCAAGCGAAUUGGAGGAGGUCUUUAAGGAUUGCAAAGAUGGAUUUUAAGUCUGGACAUGGCUUUUUGAUCAUUCUUCAUUUGAGAUCAUCUUAUGUUGGUUUUGAGUGCUUUGAUUGUAACUAGCAACUACACAUAUUUAUAUUGGUUUUGAGUCCCUUGAUUGUAAUGGGAAUUUGAGAAAUGAGUUUUAAGUGAAUGCUUUUAUGCUAUAAUUUAGCU